rnacentral:rRNA from 1 species
ACUCCUACGGGAGGCAGCAGUGGGGAAUUUUGGACAAUGGGCGCAAGCCUGAUCCAGCCAUGCCGCGUGAGUGAAGAAGGCCUUCGGGUUGUAAAGCUCUUUCAGCCGGGAAGAAAACGCAUGGGUUAAUACCCUGUGUGGAUGACGGUACCGGAAUAAGAAGCACCGGCUAACUACGUGCCAGCAGCCGCGGUAAUACGGAGGGUGCAAGCGU